rnacentral:rRNA from 1 species
AGUGAACGCUGGCGGUAGGCCUAACACAUGCAAGUCGAACGGCAGCACAGUAAGAGCUUGCUCUUCCGGGUGGCGAGUGGCGGACGGGUGAGGAAUAAAUCGGAAUCUACUUUUUCGUGGGGGAUAACGUAGGUAAACUUACUCUAAUACCGCAUACGACCUACGGGUGAAAGCAGGGGAUCUUCGGACCUUGCGCGAUUGAAUGAGCCGAUGUCGGAUUAGCUAGUUGGCGGGGUAAGGGCCCACCCAGGCGACGAUCGGUAGCUGGUCUGAGAGGAUGAUCAGCCACACUGGAACUGAGACACGGUCCAGACUCCUACGGGAGGCAGCAGUGGGGAAUAUUGGACAAUGGGCGCAAGCCUGAUCCAGCCAUACCGCGUGGGUGAAGAAGGCCUUCGGGUUGUAAAGCCCUUUUGUUGGGAAAGAAAAGCAGCAGGUUAAUACCCCGCUGUUCUGACGGUACCCAAAGAAUAAGCACCGGCUAACUUCGUG